rnacentral:rRNA from 1 species
UGAUAUACGGUGGAGGCAGCGAGGGUAAUACAGGGGUGGAAAUGGUGUGUUGGAAUUGAUCGGCUUGAAGGGCCAGUAGGCGUCCAACUAAGUCGGGCGUGAAAUUCCCAGGCAUAACCUGGGAACGGCGUCGGAUGCUGGUGGGCUGGAAUGCGGGAGAGGGAUGCAGAAUUCCAGGUGUAGCGGUGAAAUGCGUAGAUAGCUGGAGGAAUACCGGUGGCGAAGGCGGCAUCCUGGACCGACAUUGACGCUGAACGGCGAAAGCUAGGGGAGCAAACGGGAUUAGAUACCCCGGUAGUC